AGAAUCAACGCUGGCGGCGCGCUUAACACAUGCAAGUCGCACGAGAAAGGGGAGCAAUCCCUGAGUAAAGUGGCGUACGGGUGAGUAACACGUGGAUCAUCUACCUUUUAGUGGGGAAUACCCCCGGGAAACUGGGGACAAUACCGCAUAAGCUCGUAAGAGGAAAGCAGCAAUGCGCUGAAAGAGGAGUCCGCGGCUGAUUAGCUAGUUGGUGAGGUAACGGCCCACCAAGGCGAAGAUCGGUA
rnacentral:rRNA from 1 species